rnacentral:misc_RNA from 1 species
AACCAUAGAAACCUGCGGAGUACCUGCGGAGGGAUCAUUUUAGAAUCUGGGUUGGCCUGAUGGGCUCUUGUGCUCUGACUGGCCGCAGACCUACCUUCAGCCUGUGGAAACGAGCUGUGCUUCGGUGUCCCUUUCUGGGCGCCGCCUUUAUGCUGUCUGCCUUGGUGUCUGUUACAUAAAUAGAAAUCAAAACUUUUAACAACGGAUCU